UUUGGAUUUUUGGUAGCAAAGAAAGUGAGAGGUAACAAAGUAAUCGAAAUGUGUUUUUAUUUUAUUUUUUCUCCAUUUUCUUGGUAAUUAACAGAGGUUCGGAUUUCACUCGAGUGUUUGAUUAGUUGGGAAUGCUAUUGCUGGAAGUUUUGAAUUCUAGGGAUUCUCUUUGAAAAGCGGUGGAGCUAUAUUCAGUUUGGGAGAAAAAGUUUGCCACUUUACUGGGAAUUUUUAUCUUUUUUCCUAGAAAUAAUAUGGAAAUGAAAAUGUUGUUCUCUUUUAUUGCUCUAUUUUCUUGGACACCAAACAGAGGACUAAAACUAUUGUUAUCUGAGAAUAAAUUUAUAAUAAUGAUAAAAAGGAAGAUAAAAAAAAGUUUAAGUGCAAACUUGAAAUGUUGUUCUGCAUAGAAUUUUCAUUCUCAUUUAUUUUUAUGAAUGUUAGAGACAAGUGAUAGCACCAUUGUGGAUCAUUUUUAAAGCACCAUUUUGGAUCAUGUUUAAAUUAUUAAAUGAUAUUUUCUAUUAUGGUGGAACAAUAUCAAUAAGUUUAUUUCUAUUUUCUUAGAUUUAGGUUUGCUUUUCACAUGUGGCAAGUGUAAUGCCAUGAGAGGAGUUGGGAAAAAAGGAUAUGGAAUUAUAAAAUUCUGAUUGAAUGUUUUUAUUGGUGUAGGAAAGAUCUUUGUUUAACUCUAAACAAAAUUCUGAUUGAAUGAAUUUUGGUGACCAAACACCAGCAAUAUGUGAAAUGGAGUGACGGAGGAUAGAAGGGUUACUGGAAUUUUGUGGGGGAGCUGUAACAUGAGAGAGUUAUACACAGCCACAACCACAUCCACACCUAACAGUAACCCUCGCCUAAUCCAUGCGCAAGCCAUCAAAAGCGCCAUCACCGACCGCUCCUUUUACAACUCUCUCAUCACUCUCUAUUCUAAAUCCAACCUCUUAUCUAAAGCUGUUCGUAUCUUCCACCACCACAUCCCUUCCCCCAAUGUUGUCUCAUGGACUGCCCUCAUCUCUGCCUACGCCUCAACCUCAUUCGCUCUUCUUCACUUCAUUUCCAUGCUCCGCCACCCCACUCUUCCCAACCAGCGCACCUUGGCCUCCCUUCUCAAGACUUGCGCCUCCCUCCCUUCUCUCUCCUUUGGCCUCCAACUCCACUCUCUAUCCCUCAAGCUCUCCCUCUCUGCCCAACCAUUCGUCGGCUCCGCGCUUGUCAACUUUUACUCCAAAUGUCGGUUGCCGCUUGAGGCUUGCAGGGUGUUUGAUGAAAUUACACAGAGAGAUGAGGUUUGUUUCGCAGCGAUGAUUGUUGGCCUUGCCCAGAAUGCACGGCCUGUGGAUGCGCUUCUGGUGUUUGGUGAAAUGAAGGCUUGCAAUGUGGGGUCUACGAUGUACAGUGUGUCUGGGGCGUUACGGGCUGCAUCAGAGCUGGCGGCGUUGGAGCAAUGUAGGAUAAUCCAUGGCCAUGCUGUCUCUACUGGAUUUGAUUCGAAUUUGAUUGUAGGGACUGCUUUGGUUGAUGGGUAUGGGAAGGCGGGGCUUGUCUUAGAUGCGAGGCGGAUUUUUGAUGAACUGUUGCCAAGUUUGAAUGAGGUGGCCUGGAACGCAAUGAUGGCGGGUUAUGCACAGCAGGGGGAUCAGAGGUCGGUGGUUGAGCUCUUUAAUUCCAUGGAAGCUCGAGGGCUUGUACCGGAUGAAUAUAGCUUUUUGGCAAUCCUAACAUCAUUGUAUAAUGCAGGCUUGGUCGGUGAGGCUGAGUGGUGGUUGACCAGGAUGAAGGUUGAUUAUGGGCUGGAACCAGGGUUAGAACAUUAUACGUGUUUGGUGGGAGCAAUGGGCCGAGCAGGGCAAUUGGAGGAUGCAGAGAGGAUUGCUAUGACAAUGCCAUUUGAGCCAGAUGCUGCGGUGUGGCGAGCAUUACUGUCCAGUUGUGCAAUGCAUGGUGCAGCGGACAUGGCUUGGGCUAUGGGAAGACGUCUAAUGGAACUUGACCCACAGGAUGACUCUGCUUAUGUGAUUGUUGCAAAUGUUUUGGCCACCAAUGAGAGGUGGGAUGAAGUAGCUGAAGUGAGGAAAAUGAUGAAAGAUAGGAUGGUGAAGAAGGAGGGUGGGAGGAGUUGGAUUGAAGUGCGAGGAAAGGUUCACGUGUUUUUAGCGGGGGACAGAAGGCAUGAGAGGAGCCAUGAAAUCUAUGCAAAGUUAGUAGAGCUGAUGGAGAAGAUUGAGGAAUUGGGUUACAGUCCAGUCUUGAAAGAGAUGUUGCAUGAAGUAGAAGAGGGUGUGAAAAAGGAAACCCUUUGGUACCACAGUGAGAAGUUGGCAGUGGCAUUUGGGGUGGUGAGUGAUGCAGCACCGCCUGGAAAGGCGUUACGGAUUGUGAAGAACUUGAGGAUUUGUAAAGAUUGUCAUGAAGCUUUUAAGUAUAUUAGUUGUGUGGUGGAGAGGGAGAUUAUAGUGAGGGAUGUCAACAGAUACCAUAGAUUUUUGAAUGGUACUUGUACUUGUGGAGAUUAUUGGUAACCCAUGUGAACCUGAAAAAUGCCAGACUAUCAAUUUUGAUUGUAAACUCAUUUUAGAUCUUAGGCAGUGUAACUUAACUCUGAGCAGAUUCAGUUCUAUAGUUGGCCAAACUCUGAAUUCCAUUUUGUUGGGUUGAUUCAAACUUCAGAGGGGAUGCAUUUGGUGCUACAUCAAAGGAUGAUCUUUUGUAUCCUCAAUUAGUGGAACACUUAGAAGUUUGUGUUUUUUCACAUAGAAAGCCUGCAGAAGGUAUGAACCUCAAAUCAUGCCCACUGGUUUUUGCUUAGUUAAUCCCAACCUACUUGGACCUCAUCAAACAAACUGCCUUGCUACAAAGAAAUUGAUAGGGGUGCUAUUAGAGGUUCUGCUUAUUAAUCAUACUUUUUUCUUUUAAUGAUUUUUUUCUCAGUCCAUUUUUGUCCUAUUAAUGCUUUAUUUGAUGGUAGUUAUUUUUCAACCAUUCAGACUCUUAAUAAGGGAAUUUUUUGAAGCUCAUAGUAAGGGUGGUCAACAUUUCGAACAUUGAACCUUUUGAAAUCCUUCUCCCACUUGUACAAUUUUUUAUUUUUUUGGUUGAAGUUAUUGCUUCCUAAGGAAAUAAAUGAAUACGUAUUUGUUUGUUAUUUGUUAUGUCAAUUGUAUAAACUGCCAUAAUGGUUGGUAUUUUAUUGUUCAAGGUGGUUAAAUUUUAUGUUAUUCUCUC